rnacentral:rRNA from 1 species
UACGGAGGGGGCAAGCGUUGUUCGGAAUCAUUGGGCGUAAAGGGCGCGUAGGCGGCCGCUCAAGUCGGAUGUGAAAUCCCUCGGCUUAACCGAGGAACUGCAUUCGAUACUGGGUGGCUAGAGUCCGGGAAGGGGUAGUGGAAUUCCCGGUGUAGCGGUGAAAUGCGCAGAGAUCGGGAGGAACACCCGUAGCGAAGGCGGCACUCUGGGCCGGUACUGACGCUGAGGAGCGAAAGCGUGGGGAGCAAACAGG